GAUGAACGCUGGCGGCGUGCCUAAUACAUGCAAGUCGAGCGAACACACGAGGUGCUUGCUCCCCUGACUUUAUCGGCCGACGGGUCAGUAACACGUGGUUAACCUACCUAUACGACUGGGAUAACAUCGGGAAAUCAGAGCUAAUACCCGAUAAUAUAUUGAACUGGAUGGUGCACUAGUGAAAGACGGUUUUGCUGUCACUAAUAGAUACCUCCGCGCCGCAUUAGCUAGUUGGUAAGGUACCGGCUUACCAAGGCAACGAUGCGUAACCGACCUGAACGGGUAAUCGCACACACUGGAUGUGAGAAACGGUCCAGACUCCUAGGGGAGGCGGCAGUAGGGACUCUUACGCAAGGGGCGAAAGAUUGACGGUGGAACGUCGACUGAAUGAUGAAGGUGUACGGAUGGUAAAGCUCUGAAAUUAGGGAAGAACUAAUGUGUAAUUAACUAUGAACAUCAUGACGGUACCUAAUCAGAAAGCCCCGGCUAACUACAUG
rnacentral:rRNA from 1 species